AGGACGAACGCUGGCGGCGCGCCUAACACAUGCAAGUCGAACGGAGAUUACAGGCGGAAGUUUUCGGAUGGAAGCUUGUAAACUUAGUGGCGGACGGGUGAGUAACACGUGAGCAACCUGCCUAUCAGAGGGGGAUAACGAUUGGAAACGAUCGCUAAUACCGCAUGACAUAGCGGAAUCGCAUGGUUCUGCUAUCAAAGAUUUUAUCGCUGAUAGAUGGGCUCGCGUCCGAUUAGCUAGUUGGUGAGGUAAUGGCCCACCAAGGCGACGAUCGGUAGCCGGACUGAGAGGUUGAACGGCCACAUUGGGACUGAGACACGGCCCAGACUCCUACGGGAGGCAGCAGUGGGGAAUAUUGCACAAUGGGGGAAACCCUGAUGCAGCGACGCCGCGUGGAGGAAGAAGGUCUUCGGAUUGUAAACUCCUGUUGUUGAGGAAGAUAAUGACGGUACUCAACAAGGAAGUGACGGCUAACUACGUG
rnacentral:rRNA from 1 species